ACUCGCUUUAUUUGAUAGUUCUUUGAUAUUAGCUAGUGGUUGUUACCAAAUCAUUUUAAACCCCCAGAUACCCUUCAAUUAGGUAGUCUAGACUUGAUAGACUUUAAUUAGUCCUUUUUCCCCUGUGGAUCAAUCCUUGACUUGCCUUUACUACGUUCUCAGUAAUUGCUUGUUAGGUUUUAUAAAUAUUGUUUGGAAAGUGAUUUUUGGUGUCUUAACGACACACUAAAAAUGUGCAUGUAUGAUUGCAAAUUUUGAAGAAAAUUGCGAAAAAGAAAGGCAAAAGAAAUGAAAGAAAGAAAGCUCUUAUUGUUUCAUUUGGAUUUCUAUUGAAAAGAAAAAAAAAAGAGGAGCAAAUUGAUGAGAAAAUUGAAAUAAAAAAGUGAAAAAUUCAAAGUGAAAAUCAAGGUGAUGUGUGAGAUUUUGAUUUGAGAUUGGUGUUAGGACUAGCUUGGGAGACUUUUUACCCUUAGUUUGCACUCCGCUUUACCCUUUUUGCACCACAUUAAUAAAUUUUCAUCCACACCUUUAACCUACCCUCGUUACAACCUUAAUAAAGUCCAUUUUGACUUCUAGAUUGGACUUGGUCGAUUUAGUAGUGGCGGGUGAGAUUUUGUGCAAGUCAUUAUGAGGGUCAUCAAAAUAUGGUAGAGGCGAGCUAUUAUGGGUAAGCAUGCCUAGGGAGGAGUCAAACUCGGGACUUGGAAGUGGAGAGGAUUGAGUGUAACACCCCGUAUUUUAUACUCGUUUGUAUUAAUUUAUUUGCUGGAGAUAAUUUCAGAUUUCUUUUAUAAAAAAAAAAUAUUUUUUUUGACUAAAUUUGACUUUACCUUUGAAGUGGUUAAAAAAAAAAACUGAUUCCUAGAUUUCCUAGGUUAAAACCUAGCUAACCUUAUUUAAAAAUAGAGUAAGAGAAGAAAACAAAAAAAAAAAAAAAGAGGAAAAAGGGUUGGGUGUUUCCCGUAGCCUUCCCUUACAUUCAUUCAUUCUUCUACAUUUUUUUUCUUCCUUCUUCCAUUGUUUUUUUUUCUUCUUCAAUACUCCAUCAAAGCUACUACUUUUCUCUAUCAAUCAUCAUCAAACUUCAACUCUUGUUCGUCGGCUUCAAUAUCUCUUGGUUUUGUGGGUGUUUUGAAGAAGAAAAUUUUUGGGUUAUUGGACUUGCUGUUUUCGGAUCAAGAGGUCGAGAUUGUUGGGUCCCUUAUAGUGUAAUUUCACUUUUAUUACUUCCCUUAAUCAAGGACUUGGAGAUAGUUAGCUCCAGUUGGGUUAAAGAGUGCGUUGGAUCCCUUUUGAUUUAAUAGGACUUUAAAAAGACUUCCGCUGUUAUUUAUUUAUUUAUAAGAUUUAUGUUCUGGUUUGUAAUAAUUAAUUUUACAUUCUAUUUAGUUGGUCUGUAAUAAUUAGUUAAAACUUAUUGGUUAUUGUUUUAGUUAGAACCAUUAGCCUUGCAGUUAUUAUUAAUAAUUAUCGCGGCGUAGCACCUUUGGAUUUC